UCAGAGAUGUAGGGUGGGGCAGAGUUAUGAAGUGCUGUGAAAGUCAGUGUCAUUAAUUUGAAUUUGAUUACUCUCCUCCUCCUGUAGUAACAUGGCUAAAAGAUGGAGAACCUCUUGGUAAGUAAUAUAUGUCAAAUGGAUGAAUUGAUAACCAUGGACAGACAGGGAAACAAACUGUUCAAUACAAACGCUUUUAUACUAGAUAAUAGCUACGUCGACAUUAUUACAUUGCAGAAUGGAUUUUGCUUGCACCAUAUUUGCUUGGCAGAAACUAAACAUUAGCAGCCUUACUCCUAUAUCAGUGCCAACACUAGUAAUUAACUUGCAUAAAAGCUCAAUGUCUGGUCUUCAUUUCUAUAGACCAGUGUGCGAGGAUUGACUAUACAAGGCAGUCGGCUACAGAUUAGCUGUGUACAACAAUCCAAUGCCGGACGAUAUCGAUAUUUCGCCCAGAAGUCUAUCAUCGGCUCAUAAGGCCUUUGUCUUGUUGGUUCAAGUGGCUCCUAGAAUUUUUGGCUUGGUGGUGCCCAGUGAGCAUAGCGUUUCAGAGAAGCAAGAGGUAAAACUGGAGUGCAGACCCGAGGGAAGCCCACCACCCCAAAUCUUGUGAUUCAAAGACGGAAACCCUUUGGAUGUGACCUUGGUUCCUAACACUAGAGUCUAUAUAGAAAUUUCUUGGUCCUAAAGUUGGUCCAGGCCUCCGACUCCGGAAGAUACAAAUGUGUUUGGGUCUGCCUAUUCUAGAAAGGUCUGAGAGCACUGAGGAGGUGACGGCCAUUAAAGGAGCAUCCAUGUCCUUCACCCGUGAAGCCCAUGGGACACCAUUGCCCUCAUUAUCUUGGGAGAAAGAUGGACAGCCUCUGAACCUUCAGAGCAACC